rnacentral:rRNA from 1 species
UACGAAGGGGGCUAGCGUUGUUCGGAAUUACUGGGCGUAAAGCGCGCGCAGGCGGUCUUCCAAGUCAGUGGUGAAAGCCCGGAGCUCAACUCCGGAACUGCCAUUGAAACUGUUGGACUUGAGUACGAGAGAGGGUAGUGGAAUUCCCGGUGUAGUGGUGAAAUGCGUAGAUAUCGGGAGGAACACCAGUGGCGAAGGCGACUACCUGGCCUGUUCUUGACGCUGAGGCGCGAAAGCUAGGGGAGCAAACGGG